AAUCAACGCUGGCGGCGCGCCUAACACAUGCAAGUCGCACGAGAAAGUGGAGCAAUCCAUGAGUAAAGUGGCGUACGGGUGAGUAACACGUGGAUCAUCUACCUCCUAGUGGGGAAUAACCCUGGGAAACCGGGGCUAAUACCGCAUAAGUCCGAGAGGAGAAAGCAGCAAUGCGCUGGGAGAGGAGUCCGCGGCCGAUUAGCUAGUUGGCAGGGUAAAAGCCUACCAAGGCAAAGAUCGGUAGCCGGCCUGAGAGGGCACACGGCCACA
rnacentral:rRNA from 1 species